CCCGCUGAACUUAAGCAUAUCAAUAAGCGGAGGAAAAGAAACCAACAGGGAUUGCCCUAGUAACGGCGAGUGAAGCGGCAACAGCUCAAAUUUGAAAUCUGGCCUCGGCCCGAGUUGUAAUUUGCAGAGGAUGUUUCUGGCGCGGUGCCUUCCGAGUUCCCUGGAACGGGACGCCACAGAGGGUGAGAGCCCCGUAUGGUUGGACACCAAGCCUGUGUGAAACUCCUUCGACGAGUCGAGUAGUUUGGGAAUGCUGCUCUAAAUGGGAGGUAAAUCUCUUCUAAAGCUAAAUACCGGCCAGAGACCGAUAGCGCACAAGUAGAGUGAUCGAAAGAUGAAAAGCACCUUGAAAAGGGGGUUAAACAGUACGUGAAAUUGUUGAAAGGGAAGCGCUCAUGACCAGACUUGUGCCGGGCGGUUCAUCCGGGGUUCUCCCCGGUGCACUCCGCCCGGCUCAGGCCAGCAUCGGUUCUCGUUGGGGGAUAAGAACGGUAGGAACGUGGCCCUCCCUCGGGAGGGUGUUAUAGCCCGCCGUACGAUACCCUGACGGGGACCGAGGUUCGCGCUCCGCAAGGAUGCUGGCGUAAUGGUCAUCAGCGACCCGUCUUGAAACACGGACCAAGGAGUCGUCCAUUAGAGCGAGCGUUUGGGUGUAAAACCCGCACGCGUAAUGAAAGUGAAAUUAGGUGAGAGCUUCGGCGCAUCAUCGACCGAUCCUGAUGUUCUCGGAUGGAUUUGAGUAAGAGUUUUAACGGACGGACCCGAAAGACAGUGAACUAUGCUUGUAUAGGGUGAAGCCAGAGGAAACUCUGGUGGAGGCUCGCAGCGGUUCUGACGUGCAAAUCGAUCGUCAAAUAUGAGCAUGGGGGCGAAAGACUAAUCGAACUGUCUAGUAGCUGGUUACCGCC
rnacentral:rRNA from 1 species